UACAGAGGGGGCAAGCGUUGUUCGGAAUUACUGGGCGUAAAGGGCGCGUAGGCGGCCUGCUAAGUCGAACGUGAAAUCCCCGGGCUCAACCCGGGAACUGCGUCCGAUACUGGCAGGCUUGAAUCCGGGAGAGGGAUGUGGAAUUCCAGGUGUAGCGGUGAAAUGCGUAGAUAUCAGGAAGAACACCCGUGGCUAAGGCGGCUCUCUAGUACGGUACUGACGCUGAGACGCGAAAGCGUGGGGAGCGAACAGG
rnacentral:rRNA from 1 species